rnacentral:rRNA from 1 species
UGGUUCCUACGGGGGGCAGCAGUGGGGAAUAUUGCACAAUGGGGGAAACCCUGAUGCAGCGACGCCGCGUGAGUGAGGAAGUAUUUCGGUAUGUAAAGCUCUAUCAGCAGGGAAGAAAAUGACGGUACCUGACUAAGAAGCCCCGGCUAACUACGUGCCAGCAGCCGCGGUAAUACGUAGGGGGCAAGCGUUAUCCGGAUUUACUGGGUGUAAAGGUAGCGUAGGUGGCAAGGCAAGUCAGAUGUGACACCCCGGGGCCCAACCCCGGGAGUGCAUUUGAAACUGUCUGGCUAGAGGGCAGGGGA